UACGUAGGGGCCGAGCGUUGUCCGGAGUUAUUGGGCGUAAAGCGCGCGCAGGCGGCCUCGCGCGCCCGACGUGAAAGCCCCCGGCUUAACCGGGGAGGGUCGUUGGGGACGGCGGGGCUUGAGGGCGGGAGAGGUCGGUGGAAUUCCCGGUGUAGUGGUGAAAUGCGUAGAGAUCGGGAGGAACACCUGUGGCGAAGGCGGCCGACUGGGCCGACCCUGACGCUGAGGCGCGAAGGCGUGGGAGCGAACGGG
rnacentral:rRNA from 1 species